GAAGGUCACGGCGAGACGAGCCGUUUCUCAUUACCAUAGGUGUCAAGUGGAAGUGCAGUGAUGUAUGCAGCUGAGGCAUCCUAAGAGACCAGCUAGGUUUGAAC
rnacentral:rRNA from 1 species